rnacentral:rRNA from 1 species
CAGCAGCCGCGGUAAUACAGAGGGUGCGAGCGUUAAUCGGAUUUACUGGGCGUAAAGCGUGCGUAGGCGGCUUUUUAAGUCGGAUGUGAAAUCCCUGAGCUUAACUUAGGAAUUGCAUUCGAUACUGGGAAGCUAGAGUAUGGGAGAGGAUGGUAGAAUUCCAGGUGUAGCGGUAAAAUGCGUAGAGAUCUGGAGGAAUACCGAUGGCGAAGGCAGCCAUCUGGCCUAAUACUGACGCUGAGGUACGAAAGCAUGGGGAGCAAACAGGAUUAGAUACCCCCGUAGUCCCUGUCUCUUAUAA